GGAGAGAUGGCUGAGUGGUUGAUAGCCCCGGUCUG
rnacentral:tRNA from 1 species